rnacentral:rRNA from 1 species
AACACGUGGGUAACCUGCCUGUAAGACUGGGAUAACUCCGGGAAACCGGGGCUAAUACCGGAUGCUUGAUUGAACCGCAUGGUUCAAUCAUAAAAGGUGGCUUUCAGCUACCACUUGCAGAUGGACCCGCGGCGCAUUAGCUAGUUGGUGAGGUAACGGCUCACCAAGGCGACGAUGCGUAGCCGACCUGAGAGGGUGAUCGGCCACACUGGGACUGAGACACGGCCCAGACUCCUACGGGAGGCAGCAGUAGGGAAUCUUCCGCAAUGGACGAAAGUCUGACGGAGCAACGCCGCGUGAGUGAUGAAGGUUUUCGGAUCGUAAAACUCUGUUGUUAGGGAAGAACAAGUACCGUUCGAAUAGGGCGGUACCUUGACGGUACCUAACCAGAAAGCCACGGCUAACUACGUGCCAGCAGCCGCGGUAAUACGUAGGUGGCAAGCGUUGUCCGGAAUUAUUGGGCGUAAAGCGCGCGCAGGCGGUUUCUUAAGUCUGAUGUGAAAGCCCCCGGCUCAACCGGGGAGGGUCAUUGGAAACUGGGGAACUU